CAGCUAAACUGCAACCAGAUUCCUGGUCCACACAUACUGUGAGAUAAUAAUAAAUGCUUUUUGUUUUAAGCUGCUAAAGUUUGGAAUCAUUUGCUUUUCAGCAAAGGUAACUAAGACAGGAUCCCAUAAAGGACUCAAGACUCAAGCCUUUUACAUCUUUUGCACCAUCCUGUCUCCUCAACCUCCCAAAUCACUGAGAUUACAGAUGUGA
rnacentral:lncRNA from 1 species